UAAUAAACUGUUACCUUGGCAGCUGAACUAGCAGCAUGGCCUAGCAAAGCCCACAAAACCUCAGUUGAUUAUUCCAGGAACACAGCUGUGGAACACCCCAGCCAUUAAGCAGCUACUCAACUUCUCUGGAAUUCAGACCCCUCCCUGCAACACUUGGGGCUCUUGGAGAUUCAUUUUCCAGUCCGCAAAGGGAAGAUCAAAAGAAAAACCGUAAGGAAAUGGACAGAUGUGGGAGAGCAUGGGACUGGAACCAAAUGACUGGAACCAACGGUGGCAGGUUUAUGAGGAACAGUGAUGAGAAAAGAGGCUGAGGUACUGAAUCUCGUAACAGCCAGAGAUUCGAAAGAUUAUUCACUAACGCAUUGUGAAAGCAGCGAGCUCUUGGCUGGUGAAAAAAGAAAUGAAUAUCCAUAUGACCUCAUCUGUACACACGGGCAGACUGGCCUACACUCGCCUAAUGGGGAGAGCAUCCCAAGCUUACCACGUUUGGCUAAUGCUGGAGUCUGUGCUGGAAAGACUGUACAGUAUCUCUGUGAGACCAGUGAGGACACACAUGAGGAGGAGCCUCCGGGAUGACUGACCAAUGUCUCCUCAUGAAUCAGUACUCUGACCUCUCCAUGAACGGGCUUUGAGCAUGGUAGAAUGCAACUAUUUAUUUUGGUCUGCUUAAAUAAACAGAAGAUGAGUUAAUCUUAAUCUAUUGAUAAUGAAAAAGAUAU
rnacentral:lncRNA from 1 species